rnacentral:rRNA from 1 species
GACGAACGCUGGCGGCGUGCUUAACACAUGCAAGUCGAGCGGUAAGGCCCUUUCGGGGGUACACGAGCGGCGAACGGGUGAGUAACACGUGGGUGACCUGCCCUCAGCUCUGGGAUAAGCCUGGGAAACCGGGUCUAAUACCGGAUAUGACUCCAUGACGCAUGUUGUGGGGUGGAAAGCCUUGUUCGGCUGAGGAUCGGGCCCGCGGCCUAUCAGCUUGUUGGUGGGGUGANGGCCUACCAAGGCGACGACGGGUAGCCGGCCUGAGAGGCGACCGGCCACACUGGGACUGAGACACGGCCCAGACUCCUACGGGAGGCAGCAGUGGGGAAUCUUGCGCAAUGGGCGAAAGCCUGACGCAGCGACGCCGCGU